GGCAAUGUUGCUACAUGUCUAGCAAAGAUGGAGAGAGAAAGAGCAAGUAAUAGAACCUUCCAUCUGCAGAGAUGCAGAGACCCAGUUCUUGCCAUGCGAGCUGAGGGGUUGAUCCUGUUCAGCAGCAGUAGCAAAGGAGACAAGUCACUGAUCUGCCAAUGGUUUGGGUUAUUUUUUUUCUGGAGUGAGUAGAUCUCAUUGGUAAUGAACGUUGGUCAUUGUAUUUGCACAUAAAAAAAUAGGGAUGCAAGUGGAGUAACAUCCACCAUCAAAACUUUCUUUGAGAAGUCAUUGCUUAUUUCAUAGGGAUCUCCUGAGAUACAAACAUGUUUAGGAGGAGGCUCCAGACAAAACACAAGGAGCCAAAAAGCCUAUUUUCACAGCAGGCCAACAUACAAAAGUUUUGAAUAUGGAAGAACCUUCUGGCAAUGCAAGAUGCCCAGCAUUUACAGCAACCACGUAGCACAACUUUUCAGGUCAGCAGCAACUUACUGAAGUCCACUUGACAUUCCUCUAACUUUCAGAAAUGAUAUUUAAUAUUGGCAGAAAUUGCAGCCAGAAAAUAACAGAUAAUGUGCACAUGAAAUCUCAUUCCAUGUGAUGUUUUUUCCAGACGUACCGGGUGAUGCCAGAAGACCAUUGAAAAUAUUACAUAAUAUCCUACAGCAUAGGUACAUCAAAAUGAGCUUUGAUUCUACAGAAAUGUGUGAGUCAGGUUCUGACUUGGCAAAAGCCAGGCCAAGCAUCUUCUUCACCCAGUCUGCAUUUGAAAAGGACCAAUAUUGGUGAGGCUGUCUCCUGUAGAAUCAGCCUCCAGGAAAACCUCUCUCUUAACCAAUCACACGUUCAGAUACCUCCCA
rnacentral:lncRNA from 1 species